CAACUUGUCAACAAGCUGGGGACAAGCAGUGCGAAAACAUUCUGUUGAAAUGUUGUUGAACAGCAUUGCUGCACGCCUACAAACACAGAUUAAGAACUAAUACUUAAGGUUACAUGCAUAAGGAUGCCCUUCUUGGCGUUUUGCCGAAAAUCGCUACUGCUCAAAAUCAGUCCAAUUUUCAUUAAAUUUUAACCAAAUGUUCGCUAGUUCAUGCAAAAUGUGAUAAAGUUGUAAAAAAUAAUGUAAGAAUUAUUCAGGAAAAUCUUAAAUCGCGGUGCCUUUACGCUUUUGAGUUGUGUUCCUACAUGCUGG